rnacentral:rRNA from 1 species
CACGUAGGGUGCGAGCGUUGUCCGGAAUUAUUGGGCGUAAAGAGCUCGUAGGCGGUGUGUCGCGUCGGCCGUGAAAACCUGCAGCUUAACUGUGGGCUUGCGGUCGAUACGGGCAUCACUGGAGUUCGGCAGGGGAGACUGGAAUUCCUGGUGUAGCGGUGGAAUGCGCAGAUAUCAGGAGGAACACCAAUGGCGAAGGCAGAUCUCUGGGCCGUAACUGGACG